rnacentral:lncRNA from 1 species
GUAUAUAUGUUUUAAGUUCAAAGAUUUUGGAGUUCAAAUUUUAGAAUUUCCAAACAACCUUCAAUGUUCACAAAGUUAAUAACAAAAAUGUAGUGGCCAACCUUAUCUAUAUGUUUACCGUUGAUAAAUUUUUUAUAUAAUUCUUUUGUGUAUCUAUUAAUAUAAUUUAUAACUUUGUAGUUGAAAAGUUUUUUAUUUAUAGUUGUUUAAUGUCAUAGUGUUUUAAGGUCAUACCAAAUUCAAAAUUUAGAAUUUUCCAAACAACUUUCAAUGUUCACAAAGUUAAUAAUAAAAUUGUAGUGGCCGACCUGAUCUAGAUGUUCAAUGAUGAAUAAAUUUCUUAUUUAAAUUCUUUUGUGUCUCAAAUAAUUGUUUUAAAUUCACAUAUUUUAAGAUUCAAAAUUUUGAAAUCUUCAAACAAUCUUGGAUGGAGACACAUCCUACACCAAAGUUGUAGUGCUUAACAAGAUUUAUAACUCUGAAAUUGAAACUUUUUGCUUUUGAGUUCAUUUGGUAGGCAAAAAAUAUUCAACACAAUAUUAUAAAAUGGUAUUCAAAAUAGCACUGAUAUAUACUUACAAAUGAGCGUGUGGUGUAGUGACAGGAAGGUGUUAUUAUUAACAAGUAGGCCAUAUGAUUGAGUCUUAAAAGUAUAUCAAUUUUUUAUUAUUUUUUUAGGUUUUCUGAAACCAUUAGUAGUGGUAGGCUUAACAUAGGGAUGAUGUUUUUAUUUUUUUAGUUUUUCUAGAAACCAACAGAGGCUGGCUUCAUAUAGGGACAAGAAUUUUUAGGUGUUCAUAAUACCAGAACAAGCAAACAAGAGUUGGAACCUCCCAUCAUUAGGAUUCCAACUCACGAUAGAAUGGGCUAUCACUAAUGGUGGAAGCCACGAACUGGUAGUGGUAGUCUUCCUAUCACUGUCAGUUCUAAAAGUAACCGGCAGAGUGAUAGUCAGGUAAUGAUUAUCUUUUAUAGCAUAGUGAUUGGUUUACAGAGUCCAAAGUUUUGUGCACUUCGAUCCAUUUCUUUGAGAGUUUGUUUCCAUGAGUGCUCGAUUACUUUUGGGUGUGCCUAAUACUUCACGUGUGGUAUCUUGUUACUAGUUAGCACGUGUAUCUCAUAUCUUUGAUGAGUGUUUAUUUUGGAUUGUUUGCGAGCCAAGGAUCAAGAGUUUCAAAAGAAAUUUGAGGCUUCCAUUCACCCUCCUCUGGUCCUCGUUUCUGGUCCUUCAUAGUAUUAAUGAACAUUACAGCCACAUAAUGUGGCUACCUGCCAAGUUACUCAUGACUAGCCUUUACAUUAAGAAAUGAGCACAAUCCAUAAAAGAAAACUAUGCCUUUAAAUUGUGUUGAACUUUUCCAUAUAAUAAAAUAGGUACCCAAAUAUGAGUUGAAUAGUGGAAUAAAACAUGUGGCGUUGUUAAGCCUCUGGUUUGUGUGAAGUAAAAUAGGAAGCAUAACAAUAAGACGUAAAUUUGGAAAUUCAGUCCUUAUAAAACAAUAACGAACUAAAGCCUUGUUUAGUUUCCAAAAACUUUUUAGAUUCUCCAUCACAUUAAAUCUUCCGGUACAUGCAUGGAGCAGUAAAUAUAUAUUAAAAAAACUAAUUGUAUAGUUUGUCUGUAAUUUGCUAGACGAAAUUUUUUAGCCUAGUUAGUCUAUAAUUGAACAAUAAUUAUCAAAUACAAAUGAAAGUACUAC